CCCGCACGCAAACCCAAAGGUCAUUUCCCCCCAGUGUCAUGCCCUUGCUAUGUGUGCGCAAAGAAAAACCGAACCUUGUCGCCUUUCUUAGGCUGUCAAACGUGCCGCUGAAAGUGAAUUCAAGGUGCGACAUGU